rnacentral:rRNA from 1 species
CGCAGCCUGAUCAGCCAUGCCGCGUGUGUGAAGAAGGCCUUCGGGUUGUAAAGCACUUUCAGUCGUGAGGAAGGUGGUGUAGUUAAUAGCUGUAUUAUUUGACGUUAGCGACAGAAGAAGCACCGGCUAACUCCGUGCCAGCAGCCGCGGUAAUACGGAGGGUGCGAGCGUUAAUCGGAAUUACUGGGCGUAAAGCGCAUGCAGGUGGUUUGUUAAGUCAGAUGUGAAAGCCCGGGGCUCAACCUCGGAAUAGCAUUUGAAACUGGCAGACUAGAGUACUGUAGAGGGGGGUAGAAUUUCAGGUGUAGCGGUGAAAUGCGUAGAGAUCUGAAGGAAUACCGGUGGCGAAGGCGGCCCCCUGGACAGAUACUGACACUCAGAUGCGAAAGCGUGGGGAGCAAACAGGAUUAGAUACCCUGGUAGUCCACGCCGUAAACGAUGUCUACUUGGAGGUUGUGGCCUUGAGCCGUGGCUUUCGGAGCUAACGCGUUAAGUAGACCGCCUGGGGAGUACGGUCGCAAGAUUAAAACUCAAAUGAAUUGACGGGGGCCCGCACAAGCGGUGGAGCAUGUGGUUUAAUUCGAUGCAACGCGAAGAACCUUACCUACUCUUGACAUCCAGAGAACUUUCCAGAGAUGGAUUGGUGCCUUCGGGAACUCUGAGACAGGUGCUGCAUGGCUGUCGUCAGCUCGUGUUGUGAAAUGUUGGGUUAAGUCCCGCAACGAGCGCAACCCUUAUCCUUGUUUGCCAGCGAGUAAUGUCGGGAACUCCAGGGAGACUGCCGGUGAUAAACCGGAGGAAGGUGGGGACGACGUCAAGUCAUCAUGGCCCUUACGAGUAGGGCUACACACGUGCUACAAUGGCGCAUACAGAGGGCAGCAAGCUAGCGAUAGUGAGCGAAUCCCAAAAAGUGCGUCGUAGUCCGGAUUGGAGUCUGCAACUCGACUCCAUGAAGUCGGAAUCGCUAGUAAUCGUGGAUCAGAAUGCCACGGUGAAUACGUUCCCGGGCCUUGGACACACCGCCCGUCACACCAUGGAAGUGGGCUGCAAAAAAGUUAGGUAGUUUAACCUUUCGGAAGGACCUUACCCUUGUGG